UACCGCGGUUACACGUGAAUGGCCCAAGUCGAGGGUAUUCGGCGUAAAGUGUGGUUAAUAAGCCUUUUAACUAAAGCCAAACAACUUCUGGGCUGUUUCAAUGUGUAUGAAGACUGGAAGCUCUUCCUCGAAAGUCGCUUUAAGAAUUAUGACGCCACGAAAGCUAGGGAA
rnacentral:rRNA from 1 species